AUUGAACGCUGGCGGCAGGCUUAACACAUGCAAGUCGAGCGGGGUGAUGGUGCUUGCACUAUCACUUAGCGGCGGACGGGUGAGUAAUGCUUAGGAAUCUGCCUAUUAGUGGGGGACAACAUCGCGAAAGGGAUGCUACUACCGCAUACGUCCUACGGGAGAAAGCAGGGGAUCACUUGUGACCUUGCGCUAAUAGAUGAGCUUAAGUCGGAUUAGCGAGUUGGUGGGGUAAAGGCCUACCAAGGCGACGAUCUGUAGCGGGUCUGAGAGGAUGAUCCGCCACACUGGGACUGAGACACGGCCCAGACUCCUACGGGAGGCAGCAGUGGGGAAUAUUGGACAAUGGGGGGAACCCUGAUCCAGCCAUGCCGCGUGUGUAAAGAAGGCCUUAUGGUUGUAAAGCACUGUAAGCGAGGAGGAGGCUCUUUUGGUUAAUACCCAAGAUGAGUGGACGUUACUCGCAGAAUAAGCACCGGCUAACUCUGUGCCAGCAGCCGCGGUAA
rnacentral:rRNA from 1 species